rfam:Methylobrevis pamukkalensis strain PK2 A6302_contig000041, whole genome shotgun sequence.
CGCCUUUGCAAAGCGAUCCGCCAUCCCUAUAUUCCCGGUGCCGGCGCAAGUCGGCUAUGGCGAUAAAUGGGUGACGUAAUAAACCUAUCGGACCCGGGGGCGGUACCCGGCGCCUCCACCCGAGCCCGCGGCCCGCAUCCACAUGCGGAUCAGACGCGGGCUCCGGCGGGGGCGAAACAGGAUCGACGAGGGUGUAAAGGUCUUUCUUUCGCUCGGCAUGGUACCGCCGUUAUCGGGCUAAAAUUGUAGUUGCCAAUGACAACUAUGCUCCGGUCGCUGUCGCCGCGUAAUGCGGUGCCGGUAACCGAAAUCAAGUCCUGAGGGGUAGCACUUUCAGGCGGGGUCCGGAGGCACCUGGCAACAGAAGCCUCCACU